rnacentral:rRNA from 1 species
AUUGAACGCUGGCGGCAUGCCUUACACAUGCAAGUCAAACGGUAACAGGUCUUCGGAUGCGGAUGAGUGGCGAACGGGUGAGUAAUACAUCGGAACGUGCCUAGUAGUGGGGGAUAACUACUCGAAAGAGUGGCUAAUACCGCAUGAGAUCUACGGAUGAAAGCAGGGGAUCGCAAGAACUUGUGCUACUAGAGCGGCCGAUGGCAGAUUAGGUAGUUGGUGGGGGAUAAGCUUACCAAGCCGACAAUCUGUAGCUGGUCGGAGAGGACGAUCAGCCACACUGGGACUGAGACACGGCCCAGACUCCUACGGGAGGCAGCAGUGGGGAAUUUUGGACAAUGGGCGCAAGCCUGAUCCAGCAAUGCCGCGUGCAGGAUGAAGGCCUUCGGGUUGUAAACUGCUUUUGUACGGAACGAAAAGCCCCGGGUUAAUACCCUGGGGUCAUGACGGUACCGUAAGAAUAAGCACCGGCUAACUACGUGCCAGCCGCCGCCGUAA